rnacentral:rRNA from 1 species
UAGAUAGUAGGCGGGGUAACGGCCCACCUAGUCUUCGAUGGAUAGGGGUUCUGAGAGGAAGGUCCCCCACAUUGGAACUGAGACACGGUCCAAACUCCUACGGGAGGCAGCAGUGAGGAAUAUUGGUCAAUGGGCGAGAGCCUGAACCAGCCAAGUAGCGUGAAGGAUGACUGCCCUAUGGGUUGUAAACUUCUUUUAUAAAGGAAUAAAGUCGGGUAUGGAUACCCGUUUACAUGUACUUUAUGAAUAAGGAUCGGCUAACUCCGUGCCAGCAGCCGCGGUAAUACGGAGGAUCCGAGCGUUAUCCGGAUUUAUUGGGUUUAAAGGGAGCGUAGAUGGAUGUUUAAGUCAGUUGUGAAAGUUUGCGGCUCAACCGUAAAAUUGCAGUUGAUACUGGAUAUCUUGAGUGCAGUUGAGGCAGGCGGAAUUCGUGGUGUAGCGGUGAAAUGCUUAGAUAUCACGAAGAACUCCGAUUGCGAAGGCAGCCUGCUAAGCUGCAACUGACAUUGAGGCUCGAAAGUGUGGGUAUCAAACAGGAUUAGAUACCCUGGUAGUCCACGCAGUAAACGAU